AAGAUUCGAACCUGCCGCAGGUUCGGGUCGAACGCAGUGAGACAACGGAGCCGUUUACGGCGACGGCCCGUAGGGCGAGCGAAGCGAGUCAUCCUGCACGACCCACCA
rnacentral:sRNA from 3 species